rnacentral:rRNA from 1 species
UACAAGUACCCGGAGGGAAAGUUGAAAAGAACUUUGAAGAGAGAGUUCAAUAGGGCGUGAAACCGCUUAGAAGAAAACGGACGGAGCCAUCAGGGGCCUCUGGGAAUCAGUCUAACGAUGCUCGAAGCGGCGGCGAUUCGGAGCGAAAGUCCGAUCGUUGUCGUCUGUAGAGUUCGAUAGGCGCAUUUCUCGGAGGUGAGCACCGCGACCGAUACGAUAGGCCGACGAGUCGUCGUUAUUGAGGGCGAGUACUCUCACGGGUACUCGUAACCAGUUUCGGCGUUCCUUUCGUCGGAUCGAAGCGUGUAUCGAGAGCCAAAGUAACAAAUACAUCGGCGUAAACGCUCGUCUCGAUAAUGGAUAGUUGGCCAAUCGUCUGGUAUCUGCUCGCAGGUGCCGGUCGAUUCGGUUCGGCUUUGAAGUUACGGGCGACAUUCGAUGUAUUGGCGUCUGCGGUGUCAGUGUUGGCCACCCGUCCGACCCGUCUUGAAACACGGACCAAGGAGUCUAACAUAUGCGCGAGCUAAUGGGUGGAAAACCCAAAGGCGCAAUAAAAGUAAAAGCUGUUUCGGACAGCCGAGGUACGAUCCUAUGUUCCGCGCGUUCGUAGGCGCAGUACCGUCCCGUCCUGACCGCAUGUCGGUAGGGCGGAGAUAGAGUGCAUACGUUGGGACCCGAAAGAUGGUGAACUAUGCCUGAGCAGAGCGAAGCCAGAGGAAACUCUGGUGGAGGUUCGUAGCGGUUCUGACGUGCAAAUCGAUCGUCAGACUUGGGUAUAGGGGCGAAAGAUUAUUAAUUCCAC